rnacentral:rRNA from 1 species
UGGGGAAUCUUGCACAAUGGGGGAAACCCUGAUGCAGCGACGCCGCGUGAACGAUGAAGCCCUUCGGGGUGUAAAGAUCUUUCGACAGGAACGAUAAUGACGGUACCUGGAGAAGAAGCUGCGGCUAACUACGUGCCAGCAGCCGCGGUAAUACGUAGGCAGCGAGCGUUGUUCGGAGUUACUGGGCGUAAAGAGUGCGUAGGCGGCGAGCCAAGUUUGGUGUGAAAUCUCCCGGCUUAACCGGGAGGGUGCGCCGAAAACUGGUUGGCUGGAGUAUGGGAGAGGAAAGCGGAAUUCCUGGUGUAGCGGUGAAAUGCGUAGAUAUCAGGAGGAACACCUGCGGUGUAGACAGCUUUCUGGACCAAAACUGACGCUGAGGCACGAAAGCGUGGGUAGCAAACA